rnacentral:RNase_P_RNA from 1 species
GGAGUCGAUCGGAUGACUGCCCUUAAUUUUAUUAAGGGAGGAAAGUCCGAACUCCGCAGGACAGACUGCCUCUUAACAAGAGGAUCGUAAGAAUGGCAAGUGCAACAGAAAGUAAACUUCUACAUUAGUAGAAAAGGUGAAAUGGUGGUGUAAGAGACCACCAGUUAAUUAGAAAACUAAUUAAGCUAGGUAAACCCCAGUCGGAGCAAAAUUGAACAGCCCUGUGUGGUCCGCAUAAAGGGUGGGUAAAUUGCAUGAAUUAAAUUGCGAAAUUUAAUCCAGAUGAAUAGUCAUCAUCCGUUAGGAUUACAGAAUUCGGCUUAUAGAUUGACUCCAAAA